GUGAGGAAUAUUGGUCAAUGGGCGCGAGCCUGAACCAGCCAAGUCGCGUGAGGGAAGACGGUCCUAUGGAUUGUAAACCUCUUUUGCCGGGGAGCAAGCUGUGCCACGUGUGGCGCAGCUGAGAGUACCCGGAGAAAAAGCAUCGGCUAACUCCGUGCCAGCAGCCGCGGUAAUACGGAGGAUGCGAGCGUUAUCCGGAUUUAUUGGGUUUAAAGGGUGCGUAGGCGGACUGUCAAGUCAGCGGUAAAAUUGAGAGGCUCAACCUCUUCCCGCCGUUGAAACUGGUGGUCUUGAGUGGAUGAGAAGUACGCGGAAUGCGUGGUGUAGCGGUGAAAUGCAUAGAUAUCACGCAGAACUCCGAUUGCGAAGGCAGCGUACCGGCAUCCAACUGACGCUGAGGCACGAAAGCGUGGGGAUCAAACAGGA
rnacentral:rRNA from 1 species